rnacentral:rRNA from 1 species
GACGAACGCUGGCGGCGUGCCUAAUACAUGCAAGUAGAACGCUGAAGAGAGGAGCUUACUCUUCUUGGAUGAGUUGCGAACGGGUGAGUAACGCGUAGGUAACCUGCCUUGUAGCGGGGGAUAACUAUUGGAAACGAUAGCUAAUACCGCAUAACAAUGGAUGACACAUGUCAUUUAUUUGAAAGGGGCAAUUGCUCCACUACAAGAUGGACCUGCGUUGUAUUAGCUAGUAGGUGAGGUAAUGGCUCACCUAGGCGACGAUACAUAGCCGACCUGAGAGGGUGAUCGGCCACACUGGGACUGAGACACGGCCCAGACUCCUACGGGAGGCAGCAGUAGGGAAUCUUCGGCAAUGGGGGCAACCCUGACCGAGCAACGCCGCGUGAGUGAAGAAGGCUUUCGGAUCGUAAAGCUCUGUUGUAAGUCAAGAACGGGUGUGAGAGUGGAAAGUUCACACUGUGACGGUAGCUUACCAGAAAGGGACGGCUAACUACGUG